CGGGUGAGUAACGCGUGGGUAACCUGCCUUGUACAGGGGGAUAACAGUUGGAAACGGCUGCUAAUACCGCAUAAGCGCACGGCAUCGCAUGAUGCAGUGUGAAAAACUCCGGUGGUAUAAGAUGGACCCGCGUUGGAUUAGCUAGUUGGUGAGGUAACGGCCCACCAAGGCGACGAUCCAUAGCCGACCUGAGAGGGUGACCGGCCACAUUGGGACUGAGACACGGCCCAA
rnacentral:rRNA from 1 species